rnacentral:rRNA from 1 species
CUAAAGUUUUAAGUUUGAAAGAUGCAAUUGCAUCACUCAAAGAUGAUCCCGCGCUGAUUAGCUUGUUGCGGGGUAACGGCCCACCAAGGCGACGAUCAGUAGCCGACCUGAGAGGGUGAUCGGCCACAUUGGAACUGAGACACGGUCCAAACUCCUACGGGAGGCAGCAGUGGGGAAUAUUGCACAAUGGGCGCAAGCCUGAUGCAGCAACGCCGCGUGAGCGAUGAAGGCCUUCGGGUCGUAAAGCUCUGUCCUCAAGGAAGAUAAUGACGGUACUUGAGGAGGAAGCCCCGGCUAACUACGUGCCAGCAGCCGCGGUAAUACGUAGGGGGCUAGCGUUAUCCGGAUUUACUGGGCGUAAAGGGUGCGUAGGCGGUCUUUCAAGUCAGGAGUUAAAGGCUACGGCUCAACCGUAGUAAGCUCCUGAUACUGUCUGACUUGAGUGCAGGAGAGGAAAGCGGAAUUCCCAGUGUAGCGGUGAAAUGCGUAGAUAUUGGGAGGAACACCAGUAGCGAAGGCGUCGACGCGGCCG